rnacentral:rRNA from 1 species
UCUGGUUGAUCCUGCCAGAGGUUACUGCUAUCGAGGUUCGACUAAGCCAUGCGAGUCGAAUGUAGCAAUACAUGGCGAACUGCUCAGUAACACGUGGACAACCUGCCCUUAGGUUGGGUAUAAACCCGGGAAACUGGGUAUAAUACCCGAUAGGUCUCGAUUGCUGGAAUGCAUCGAGAUUUAAAGCUCCGGCGCCUAAGGAUGGGUCUGCGGCCUAUCAGGUAGUAGUGGGUGUAGCGUACCUACUAGCCUACGACGGGUACGGGUUGUGAGAGCAAGAGCCCGGAGAUGGAUUCUGAGACACGAAUCCAGGCCCUACGGGGUGCAGCAGGCGCGAAAACUUUACAAUGCUGGCAACAGCGAUAAGGGAACCUCGAGUGCCAGGUUACAAAUCUGGCUGUCGAGAUGCCUAAAAAGCAUUUCAUAGCAAGGGCCGGGCAAGACCGGUGCCAGCCGCCGCGGUAACACCGGCGGCUCGAGUGGUAACCGUUAUUAUUGGGUCUAAAGGGCCUGUAGCCGGCCGGAUAAGUCUCUUGAGAAAUCUGGCAGCUUAACUGUCAGGCUUUCAGGAGAUACUGUCUGGCUCGAGGCCGGGAGAGGUGAGAGGUACUUCAGGGGUAGGGGUGAAAUCUUGUAAUCCUUGAAGGACCACCAGUGGCGAAGGCGUCUCACCAGAACGGACCUGACGGCAAGGGACGAAAGCUAGGGGCACGAACCGGAUUAGAUACCCGGGUAGUCCUAGCCGUAAACGAUACUCGCUAGGUGUCGGCCACGGUGCGACCGUUGUCGGUGCCGUACGGAAGCCGUGAAGCGAGCCACCUGGGAAGUACGGCCGCAAGGCUGAAACUUAAAGGAAUUUGGCGGGGGAGCACCACAGCGGGUGGAGCUUGCGGUUUAAUUGGAUUCAACGCCGGA